rnacentral:tRNA from 6 species
GGGGAUGUAGCUCAGUUGGUAGAGCGUCUGCUUUGCAAGCAGAAUGUCGGGGGUUCGAUUCCCUUCAUCUCCACCA